AGGUGAAAAAGCUGUGUGAUGGGGGAGGCUACUUUCCAUUUCUGGGAAGAAGGACCCCUGCGGGUGUGUCCUGAAGGAACUUGCGGGGGACAAGCCAGCAGUGGGAGUCCCACCGCACCUGUGAGAGAAGUGGGGAGCUGUGUUCUCAUGACACUUAAAAGAGAAGACCAAAGAGAAGCAGAGCAGCCAGGGCUCACGUGUGGCCGCCCCGUGGUGGAAAUUCCCGGCCACUACAUAGCACGCCGGAGAGGGAAUGUGGAAAAGAAGCUAGGAACUAGAUCAAUGAGAUUCAGAACGGGUUCUAGAUACUAUUGUUUUCCUGUCAAGAGGCAUUGAAAGAGGAGAGGGAAUGCUGGAGUGUAGCUCCCAGGUAGCCUGCUUCAGGACCAAGGCUCUGGUCUCAUCAGUUGUCAGAAGCACUGACUGCUGGUGGGCUGACUCCCUGAACACCGUGGAAAGCUCCCUCAGGCAGAGGGCUGCUUCCCCAACUUCAGCCCUUCUCUGAAGGACUAGCUGCCUCUGCAUUGAUGUUCAAGUUUUCCCUUUGCCUUUUUCUCUUUUCCUUACUUCCACUCUUCCCCAAAGCAUUCCCAAAUAAAUUUCCUUCUUG